CUGCUUGCUUCAGCAGCACAUAUACUAAAGCAGGAAUGAUAUAGAUAAGAUUAGCAUGGUCGCUGAGCAAGGAUGAUAAGCAAAUUUGUGAAGUGUUCCAUAUUUUU
ensembl:snRNA U6 U6 spliceosomal RNA